CCUCACGCUGUGUUCGGCAGUGAGGCGGCGAGAGCGCGCCGGUUCAGCAGGAGACCGCUGUGGGAACCCCGCCGAACACGCUUUGGGCGGCCAUUUUGUAACUCGAAUCUACCCUCAAAACCAAUUCGAAAAAAAGGGAGGCAAGAAACGCCCCUACAGUGUUCUGAACUGGGUUGAACACACAAAGGAUGCUAAAAUUUUCCACUUGUAUACAGGUUCUCGGCAUUUGGAUGAAGAAAUGAUGAUUUGCUCAGCUGUUCAUUCCUACAGACGCCAUGCAGCACCUGCUGAUUUAUAACUCCCAAACCUACUGUGCCUAAUGCUGUCCCACUCACAUACCACAUUUUAGCCCUUCCUUGAAAACUGCCCAGGUCUUUCUACAGUUUGCCAUGUCAAAGCCAAAGUCUUCUGUGUGACUACUAAUUUUUUAAUAACUUGAUCAAAAUUCAUAUCCUUAUACUCC
rnacentral:lncRNA from 1 species